ACUAGGAGUGGAGAGUGGGGAAGUCCGUUUUAACAAGCCGAGGUCUGGGAGUGGAGAAGGUAGAAUUCAGAGUUACAAGCCGAGGUCUAGGAGUGGAGAAGGUAGAAAUCCGUUUACAAGCCGAGGUCGAGAAGUGGAGAAGGUAGAAAUCCGUUUACAAGCCGAGGUCGAGAAGUGGAGAAGGUAGAAAUCCGUUUACUAGCCGAGGUAUAGAAGUGGAGCAGGUAGGAUCAGAAGUAGAGCAGCUGAUCUUCAUGCAGCACCUGUGCGAAUAAUCCAGCCCUUUGAAUCUGGCGCGG